UGGGGAAUUUUGGACAAUGGGCGCAAGCCUGAUCCAGCCAUUCCGCGUGCAGGAUGAAGGCCCUCGGGUUGUAAACUGCUUUUGUACGGAACGAAAAGGCUUUCUCUAAUACAGAGAGCUCAUGACGGUACCGUAAGAAUAAGCACCGGCUAACUACGUGCCAGCAGCCGCGGUAAUACGUAGGGUGCAAGCGUUAAUCGGAAUUACUGGGCGUAAAGCGUGCGCAGGCGGUGAUGUAAGACAGAUGUGAAAUCCCCGGGCUCAACCUGGGAGCUGCAUUUGUGACUGCAUCGCUGGAGUGCGGCAGAGGGGGAUGGAAUUCCGCGUGUAGCAGUGAAAUGCGUAGAUAUGCGGAGGAACACCGAUGGCGAAGGCAAUCCCCUGGGCCUGCACUGACGCUCAUGCACGAAAGCGUGGGGAGCAAACAGGAUUAGAUACCCUGGUAGUCCACGCCCUAAACGAUGUCAACUGGUUGUUGGGUCUUCACUGACUCAGUAACGAAGCUAACGCGUGAAGUUGACCGCCUGGGGAGUACGGCCGCAAGGUUGAAACUUAAAGGAAUUGACGGGGUCAUAGCUGUUUCCU
rnacentral:rRNA from 1 species